AUUGUAACCACUCCAGUAAGAUCCUUCACAUUCAUUUACAAUUAAUUUAAAUCUUAAUUUAAUUCCACCUGUGGGCAAUCAUUAGUCUACUUUUUGUCUCCAAAUUUUAACCUUUUCUGGACAUUUCACAAAAAUGUGAUCAUAUACAAUCAUGUGCCACAUAAUGAUGUUUUGGUCAAAGACAGACUGCAUAUAUGACAAUGGUCCCAUAAUAUUAUAAUACUGUAUUUUUACUCUACCUUUUCUGUGUAUGUUUAGAUAUACAAGUACUGACCAUUGUGUUACAGUUGUCUAAGAUAUUCAGUAUAGUAACGUGCUGUACAGGUUUGUAACCUAGGCGUGGGGUAGGCUAUACCAUCUAGGUUUGUGUAAGUAUACCCUGUGAUAUUCACACAAUAAUGAAAUUGCCUAACAAUGCAUUUCUCAGAAUGUAUCCCUGUCAGUAAGCCAUGCAUGACUAUAAUAGUUGGUCUGUUGUGGCUGGCUUUCACUUAUUUUUAAGACUCAUCCAUGUUGCAGUGUGUAUUAAUACUUCAUUCCUUUUUUAUUGCUGAAUAGUAUUCCCAUCUAUGGUUAUGCCACAUUAUUGUUUAUCCAUUCACUAGUCUGUGGAUAUUUAGGUUCUUUACAGUUUUUGACUGUUAGGAAAAUGCAGCCAUGAACACUUACAUGCAAAUCUUUGUGUGGACAUAUAUUUUCAUUUUAUUUGGGCUAGUAAUCAUUUUAGCUUGUCUUUUCAAACAAAUAAUUAUGACUUAUAGGGAGAUUCUUAAAGAAGAUGAAUCUGGAUCACUUAAAGCUACAAUAGAAGACAUUCUAUUCAAGGCAAAGAGAAAAAGAGUAUUUGAGCACCAUGGACAAGUUCGACUUGGAAUGAUGCGCCACCUUUAUGUGGUAGUAGAUGGAUCAAGAACAAUGGAAGACCAAGAUUUAAAGCCUAAUAGACUGACGUGUACUUUAAAGUUGUUGGAAUACUUUGUAGAGGAAUAUUUUGAUCAAAAUCCUAUUAGUCAGAUUGGAAUAAUUGUAACUAAGAGUAAAAGAGCUGAAAAAUUGACUGAACUCUCAGGAAACCCAAGAAAACAUGUAACGUCUUUGAAGAAAGCUGUGGAUAUGACCUGCCAUGGAGAGCCAUCUCUUUAUAAUUCCCUAAGCAUGGCUAUGCAGACUCUAAA
rnacentral:sRNA from 1 species